UAAGAUCCAAAAGAUGAAUAGAAAGAAUCUUGGAAGACUUGUAUCAUGACCCACUGUAUUUUUUAUAGUUUAUAGGAAUAACAAGCUUCCACCUGCUUCUGACAGGAAAAAAAAGAGGGAAAUAGCUGUUUUGUUACCAAAAGAAAUGUAUACGUUUGACUGUAAACUUGGGAUUUAACUACAAUGCUGGUCAAAAUGCACUGGAUGCACACUCAUCCAGAAUCCAAACACUCAUCCAGAAUCCAAAAACAGAAGAAAGAGGAGGAAGGUCUCCAAAGUAAUUUCAUUACACAUCCCAAGUUACCUGAAGUAAGCAGAGAGAACUAAUCUCAUAGAACUGUAGCCUACACUUUGAGCAGCAAACACAUCUCUACUUUUCCCAACAAGAGAACUGCAAAUGUCCAGCACCUCCAGGGUCUGUAUCUUGUUCAGCUCCAGCCUGCUGACACACUGAUGAACAGCAUCUGCCAAUUCAAAGCAGCUCUGACCAGACUGACUUGAUGCAAUCUGGCAACCUUAAUCAUCUUAAGCUGUCCUCUGGAAUACCUGUUCUGCAUCUCAAAGUGCCUUUUCCACACAAGUAAAAAUGAUUUUUUUCUAGCUGUGUGGUCCCUUGGCUAAAAUGAAAAACAUUCCUGGAAGAGUUUUGACAUUGCAGUGAUAAGGAGUAAGGAGUAAGAAGAGGUUAGAGAACACCGACUGCAGCAGGGGUAACACUUGUUAGCAACAAAAGCUCAGCCUCAGGAAUGGAACAGAAGAAGCUGAUAAUGAAAAGAUGGGAGUCAAGUGGGAGGAGAAGAACUCUGACUAAUACUCCUGAUUAACUGAGAGGGGAUACUGGAAGACAAGUGUGAUGAUGAAAAAAGGUGCAGGAACUAAAUGGGUUAGAGGCAGACUCUCACUGCUGUAGUGUGAACUCACAGGUAAAUGCUUGUUCCCAGCAUCCUGGGAAAUGGGAAUGUAACAUCCAUUUAGCUGCCUACUAUGAGCACUUUGUAUCCAAGCAAAGGCAUUAGGAGUAAUACUUUUGAAGUAAUUAUCUCAGGAUUUAUUGACAGAGAUCAUAUAAAAUUAUUCAGGUCAUGAUUUAAAAUGCUUGCCAAAUGGGCAAAACAAAAAAAUUAAAAUGGAAAAGGAAAGAAUGUAAUUAAGAACUGCCCUUCAUAAAACAA